rnacentral:lncRNA from 1 species
ACAACAAUCGGAGGAAAAACUCCAGCCACAUAAGAAGUUAAAUGUGCCGCAACCACCAGUGGCGAAAUUGUGGACAUCACAGGAGCAACCACAGCCAUCACAGCAGCAGCCAUCAGUGCAGCCACCAUCACAGCCACCACCACAGCCAUCAACAUUGCCACAGGCACAGGUGUGGCCAGGGCCACAGCCACCACAACCACAGCCACCACCUCAGCCAACACAACCAAGUGCUCAAGCCCGUUGUACUCAGCACACCUCCAAAUGCAAUCUCCAGGAUUCCCAAAGGCCAGGUCACCAGCCUACUUCAGCGGGGAUCUACUAAGCUGGAGGGCAAUCUCUGUAUCAACAACAGAUUCCAGGGUCUCAUGAACCCAUGCCAAUCUAGCCCCAUCAGAAACACUGGGUAUUCACAACUCAAGUCUACCAAUUACAUACAGCAGUGGUGAUCCAGAGAUUGAACCCAGGACCCCAUGGCCAUCCCCAAAAUGCAGAUGAGCAACCACAUCUUCUCAGCAUCCAGCAAUAUCUCCACUCCAAAAGCCACCCACUCUAGAAGAGGAGGCUGCCAGGAAUAAAAUCCAGGUACAGAUUUUGCUGAGAGAGAAGAAAAGAGAACGUGGGACCACGUGUCACAUGGAGCAGCCUGUCAGCUCAGAAGAUGCCUGCAGGUCCCAGUUUCCUUACCCCACAGAACUCUUUCCUUCCAUCAGGUGCCCCCAAAAUGUCACUCCCACCCCUUCCCACCCUUCAGGUGAGUGUAGCAGCAUGGCUGCACUAUCACUCUGACCUCCACUCACUUGGCCCAGGCACAUGCUGGACCCCCAUUCAGGAGACAGACAAAACAUUCUUCUUCCUCAGCAAUGCAGGCUGAAGAGCCCAAGGUCACAUAUUGUAAAGAUUAACCAAAUUCCA